rnacentral:lncRNA from 10 species
CUCCGUCUCAAAAAAAAAAUUAGCUGGGCAUGGUGGCGCGUGCCUGUAGUAGGGCUCGGGAGGCUGAGGCAGGGGAAUCGCUCAAAAAAAAAAAACAACUGUGCCCAGAGGUGGGCACAGAAGACACCCUUGCCCUCCGACUCUGAAAAGCCCCUAAGACCAGAUCCCACUUAAUCUCUUUUCUCCUAAGGUCACCUGGUGUUCAGGAAAGAACUUCGGAGUGUCCCAGGCGCUGCCCCCAUGGGGGCCUCACCCAGUUGAGGUCCCCAUCCCAUCAUCUUAAGAGGAACACCACAGGUUAACCCAAGCGCUGCCUCUAGGCAGGAGAUCUGCAGACACCUGGUCUGCAUGGAACCUGGAGCACUAAUCCAUAAGUGGAGCCUGGGAAGGGGACCUUGUCCUAUCCCAGGACAGAGGAGAAAGCAAGUGCAGCAGUGGCCAAGAGCUGUCCUGGGCCUCCUGACAACUGAGGAGCUGGAUGCAGCGGGGCUCUUCUCAGCCCUGAGUCAGAGGUGAAGACUCUUCCGCCAUCCUGUCAUCAGAUUCGUUCUCCUAACAAGCUCGCAUCCUGGGCAGAGCUUGUUCGUGUGAUGCCCACUUUAGAGGUAGAGCUGGGAGAGAACAAGGUGUUCCCCCAGGGCUCCUUCGCCUGGGAAUCCAGCUCCUCCAGCUGGAGCCCCGAUGCUCUGAAGCUAGAGCCUCACUUUCUCCCAUCAAACUCUGGCUCUGCCCCUUCCCAGCUCUGGGAUUUUGGUCAAAUUCCUUGCCUUCUCUGUGCUGAAGUUCCCCUAUCUAAACAAUGGGGAUUGUUAUGAAGGCUAAAUGAAAUAAACAUGCAGCAACUAGCA